GACGAACGCUGGCGGCGCGCUUAACACAUGCAAGUCGAACGGAAAGGCCUGCUUUCCCUUGUGGAUUGCGGGUACUCGAGUGGCGAACGGGUGAGUAACACGUGAGUGAUCUGCCCCCAACUUGGGUAUAAGCCUGGGAAACUGGGUCUAAUUCCCGAUAGGACUGCAGGGUGGUGCCUGUGGUGGAAAGCGAUUUUCUAGUGGUUGGGGAUGAGCUCGCGGCCUAUCAGCUUGUUGGUGGGGUAAUGGCCUACCAAGGCGGCGACGGGUAGCCGGCCUGAGAGGGUGGACGGCCACAUUGGGACUGGGAUACGGCCCAGACUCCUACGGGAGGCAGCAGUGGGGAAUAUUGCACAAUGGGCGGAAGCCUGAUGCAGCGACGCCGCGUGGGGGAUGACGGCCUUCGGGUUGUAAACUCCUUUCGACCGCGAGGAAGCCACCUGGUUGGAAGGGUGGUGACGGUAGUGGUAGAAGAAGCACCGGCUAACUACGUG
rnacentral:rRNA from 1 species